CACUCACACUGCUUGUGGACCAUGGAGGACAGAACAGGACCAAACCAGGACCCAGGAAAUACGGCUGUCAGCUCACACUGGAUCCAGACACUGCGAACAGAUACCUGUCUCUGUCUGAGGGGAACAGGAAGGCGACAUACGCAUGGGAGAUAGGGGAGCAGCCAUUUCCUGAUCAUCCGGAGAGAUUUGCAUACGAGCCACAGGUUUUAUGCAGAGACAGUGUGUGUGAGCGCUGUUACUGGGAGGCUGAGUUGAGUGAGUGGGGAAAAGUUUCAGUAGCAGUGACAUACAAAGGAAUCAGCAGGAAAGGACGGGAUUCUGACUGUAUGUUUGGAUGGAAUAAAAACUCCUGGAGUCUUGAGUGCAA